GGGAAUGUAACUCAGUGGUAGAGUGCCUGCCUAGCAUAUGUGAGGCCCUGGGUUCAAUCCCCAGCACUGCUA
rnacentral:tRNA from 1 species